GUGAAUCAUCGAAUUUUUGAACGCAAAUUGCACUCUCUGGCAUUCCGGAGAGUAUGCCUGUUUGAGGGUCAGUUUAAAUAAUAAUCGCGGUGUUGCCGUCUUGUGUCGCAUCGGAAUUGGGGUAUUUUUGACGUUUUAAAAAGUUUAAGUGACUUAAAAUUGAUAUCUUGUGUAUCUCGGAUGUACAUAAGAAUAUUUUUUCAUCCGUUUGGCGUUGUCAACUUUCUAUUAGGUAUGACCAUGCUGUCUGUGGUAGUGUACCUAUAAUAUACUC
rnacentral:misc_RNA from 1 species